rnacentral:rRNA from 1 species
UACGUAGGGUGCGAGCGUUAAUCGGAAUUACUGGGCGUAAAGCGUGCGCAGGCGGUUCGUUGUGUCGGUGGUGAAAUCCCCGGGCUUAACCUGGGAAUGGCCAUGGAAACUGGCGAACUGGAGUGCGGCAGAGGGGGGUGGAAUUCCGCGUGUAGCAGUGAAAUGCGUAGAGAUGCGGAGGAACACCGAUGGCGAAGGCAGCGCGCUGGGCUAGCACUGACGCUCAGGAACGAAAGCGUGGGGAGCAAACAGG